AUAUUGUUAGUAUAAGUUAUUAUAUUUCUCUUCCAAAGAAAAGAUCUAUUGUUGUAGACGGUAUA
rnacentral:tRNA from 1 species